ensembl:lncRNA
CAGGAGCCCACCUCUCAAAGAAGAGCCCUCUGCACUGGGGGCCCACGGACUCCCCGGAGAGCGUGCUCAGCCAGAGUCGGCUCGUGUUCCGUUACCUCCCGGGCCAGGAAGGGCACUAUCAUCAGACCGCAAUCUGCCAGGGAAGCGCAACAUGUGGCCAAGACCCAGGGGAAGAUUUUGGUGCCUCGACCCCCUCCAAAACCUGAAGCUGUGGAGUGUAACUUAGCUGAGGGUUCCGUGUACAUCUCGAAGGCAUCGUGCAAUGACGAUGGUGUACAGAGCAGACCGGAUCUGCAGGAUCUGGCCUUUUGCACUCCAGAUAGCCAGGCAAUAGUUCAUCGGCCUACCCUCAGAACAGAUGCUAUCUGUGCUCCAGUGCCACCCUACUGUACCUUCACCCAUGAGACAGGCAUCUGUUCCCUCUCCCCUCCAGAUGCCCUUGCAGACAAUGCCAGACACAGGUGUGGAGAUAACGGGAUAUGUUUGGACCGGACUCCAACAGAUGAGGAGAUCUCACUGCUGUGGCAUGGAGUCCGAACUGCUCUCGCCAGUAAAGACGGUGACCCUCAAAGUUUUCUUGCUCACAAUGGCCCAUUGUCUUCUUCGCCUCAAGUCUGUGCCAGUCUGUCCCAUGUCACUAUCAAUGGGGAUAGUCUGAUCAGUGGUGUCAAAGGAGCCUCAAAAAUGGGUGGAUUUUUCUUGUCUUCCUCUAACAUGAGAAGUCCAAUAAGGAGACAGGCUAUGGAGAGUAAUAUGGUGAAGAGCCGAGUUUCAGUGGAAAACAGCAGCAACCAAACAGCAGGAACAACACAGAGAAAGCCUAGUUUUCCUUAUCAGGUCACUGUGCCAAAACCUCAAUAUCCAAAUAAAAAUGGUCAUGCAGCUGACAGUGAAGUCCCAGAGGUGUCAGACGGUGCUCAUGAAGUAGAGGACUGUGCUCAGACCCAUAAGAUCUGCAACGAUCCGAUUGGUCCGUUGAGCCAAAGAAUACAGUCACUCAGUGUCAGCGCUCUGUCACAAGAGGAGCAGAAGAUCCUGCAGUCACUCGAGAGACUAAAUCAACGCCUGCAAUAUGUGCAAGAUACAGCUGGUGGCAACCCAGCAGUGAAGGGCAUCUUUACUUUGGGUCCUGCAUUUAACCAGACCGGUGAGACUGUAGGUGUCACCGUGCGUAGGCGAGGAGCCUCUGCUGAUAAUCGCACCCGAACUCAACAGCGUUACUGACUACACCUCCCAUGAUCCACCACUCCCUCAAGCACCUUCUCUCAGCUGCACUUUGCAAGCCUUCAAACCUUAAGAUUAUAUGCUGUAUUUUGCUGAGACAUAGUUAAAUACUUUAUCUGAGUGGUAUUUAAUUGUUUUUUAAAGACAUAGUUCACCCAAAAAUGAACAUUUGCAGAAAAUGUACUCACCCCCUAGCCAUCCAAAAUGUAAAUGAAUAAUUUUUUUCAUUUGGACAGAUUUGGAGAAACUUAGCAUUGCGUAACUUGCUCACAAAUGAAUCCUCUACAGUGAAUGGGUGCCGUCAGGAUGAGAGUUCAAACAGCUGAUGAAAACAUCACAAUAAUCCACAAUUUAUCCACACAUCUCCAGUCCAUCAUUUAUCAUCUUGUGAAGUGGAAAGCAGUGUAUUUGUAAUUAACAAAUCCAUCAUUAAGACAUUUUAACUUCAAAUAUCCAUUAAUCCAUAAUAUUGCUUUUCCCAGUGAAAAGUUGUCUCUUCUGAAUCAGGAGAGAAAUAUGCACAGAUCAAGCAUUGUUUAUAAGUGAAAACAGUCCUAAACAGUUCUAAACAAAUCUGAAAGGUUUGGAUGCAAGAAGAUAACAGGAGGACGUUUUUACUGGAGGAAGCAUUAUUAUGGAUUUUGGAGGCAACAGUUUAAAGUUCACAAGCCUUAAUGAUGGAUUUUUUUCUUACAAACAGGCAGCUUUUCACUUCACAAGAUGAUAAUAGAUUGACUAGAGUGUUAUGGGUUAUUGUGAUUUUUUAUUUAUUGAUUUUUUUCAGCUCUUUAGAUUCUCAUUCUAACGGCACCCAUUCACUGCAGAGUAAAAAUGUCUCUCAAUUUCUCUAAAUCUGUUCCAAUUAAGAAAUCUUGAAUGGCCUGAGGGUGAGUAAAUUUUCAUUUUUGAGUGAACUAUUCCUUUAAUCAGGUGUAAUAUGUGUGAAAUGAUUCUGGCAAUACACAAGACUUAAUGUUUGUGUAAUAAAACAUUUAAAAAAAAACA